rnacentral:miRNA from 2 species
AUCAUGCAUGACAGCCUCAUUU